GACAGAGGGUGCAAACGUUGCUCGGAAUCACUGGGCGUAAAGGGCGUGUAGGCGGGAAGGAAAGUCAGAUGUGAAAUCCCUGGGCUCAACCCAGGAACUGCAUUUGAAACUCCCUUUCUUGAGUACCGGAGAGGAAAGUGGAAUUCCUGGUGUAGAGGUGAAAUUCGUAGAUAUCAGGAGGAACACCAGUGGCGAAGGCGGCUUUCUGGACGGUAACUGACGCUGGAGAACGCGGAAAGCCGUGGGGAGCAAACAGG
rnacentral:rRNA from 1 species